UGGUACCGAAAUUCUCGUCUCAAUCUCCUCUAUCACAUUUAGCCAUAAAAAUAACAUUUUUGGCUUUCUAGAAUAAAUUCUCAUUUAUGGGUUAAUUAGCCGUUAAUUAACUGGGUCUUACAUUCUACCCACCUAAUUGGGAAUUUUGCCCACAAAAUUCAAAUGCAAUUACCUGAGAAUAAGUGCGGAUAAUCCGUUUGCAUCUCC
rnacentral:lncRNA from 1 species